AGAGUUUGAUCCUGGCUCAGGACGAACGCUUUCGGCGUGCUUAACACAUGCAAGUCGAACGGAAAGGCCCUUCGGGGUACUCGAGUGGCGAACGGGUGAGUAACACGUGGGUGAUCUGCCCUGCACUUUGGGAUAAGCCUGGGAAACUGGGUCUAAUACCGAAUAUGACCACGCUCUUCGUGGGGUGUGGUGGAAAGCUUUUGCGGUGUGGGAUGGGCCCGCGGCCUAUCAGCUUGUUGGUGGGGUAAUGGCCUACCAAGGCGACGACGGGUAGCCGGCCUGAGAGGGUGACCGGCCACACUGGGACUGAGAUACGGCCCAGACUCCUACGGGAGGCAGCAGUGGGGAAUAUUGCACAAUGGGCGCAAGCCUGAUGCAGCGACGCCGCGUGAGGGAUGACGGCCUUCGGGUUGUAAACCUCUUUCACCAGGGACGAAGCGCAAGUGACGGUACCUGGAGAAGAAGCACCGGCCAACUACGUGCCAGCAGCCGCGGUAAUACGUAGGGUGCGAGCGUUGUCCGGAAUUACUGGGCGUAAAGAGCUCGUAGGUGGUUUGUCGCGUUGUUCGUGAAAACUCACAGCUUAACUGUGGGCGUGCGGGCGAUACGGGCAGACUAGAGUACUGCAGGGGAGACUGGAAUUCCUGGUGUAGCGGUGGAAUGCGCAGAUAUCAGGAGGAACACCGGUGGCGAAGGCGGGUCUCUGGGCAGUAACUGACGCUGAGGAGCGAAAGCGUGGGGAGCGAACAGGAUUAGAUACCCUGGUAGUCCACGCCGUAAACGAUGUCAACUAGCUGUUUGAUACAUUAGAUAUUGGGUAGCGAAGCCAACGCGAUAAGUUGACCGCCUGGGGAGUACGGUCGCAAGAUUAAAACUCAAAGGAAUUGACGGGGGCCCGCACAAGCGGUGGAGCAUGUGGUUUAAUUCGAUGCAACGCGAAGAACCUUACCUGCCCUUGACAUAUAGAGGAGUUGCUAGAGAUAGCGAUGUGCCGAGAGGAACUCUAAUACAGGUGCUGCAUGGCUGUCGUCAGCUCGUGUCGUGAGAUGUUGGGUUAAGUCCCGUAACGAGCGCAACCCUUAUACUUAGUUGCCAACAGGUAGAGCUGGGAACUCUAGGUAGACUGCCGGUGUUAAACCGGAGGAAGGCGGGGACGAUGUCAAGUCAUCAUGGCCCUUACGGGCAGGGCUACACACGUGCUACAAUGGCUAGUACAGAGGGCGGCGAAGUCGUGAGAUGGAGCAAAUCCUUAAAAGCUAGUCGUAGUCCGGAUUGAAGUCUGCAACUCGACUUCAUGAAGUCGGAAUCGCUAGUAAUCGCAAAUCAGCAUGUUGCGGUGAAUACGUUCCCGGGCCUUGCACUCACCGCCCGUCAAG
rnacentral:rRNA from 1 species